CCUACGGGAGGCUGCAGUGGGGAAUAUUGGACAAUGGGGGGAACCCUGAUCCAGCCAUGCCGCGUGUGUGAAGAAGGCCCUCGGGUUGUAAAGCACUUUCAGUGAGGAAGAACGCCUGGUGGUUAAUACCCAUCAGGAAAGACAUCACUCACAGAAGAAGCACCGGCUAACUCCGUGCCAGCAGCCGCGGUAAUACGGAGGGUGCGAGCGUUAAUCGGAAUUACUGGGCGUAAAGCGCGCGUAGGUGGCUUGAUAAGCCGGUUGUGAAAGCCCCGGGCUCAACCGGGGAACGGCAUCCGGAACUGUCAAGCUAGAGUGCAGGAGAGGAAGGUAGAAUUCCCGGUGUAGCGGUGAAAUGCGUAGAGAUCGGGAGGAAUACCAGUGGCGAAGGCGGCCUUCUGGACUGACACUGACACUGAGGUGCGAAAGCGUGGGUAGCAAACAGGAUUAGAUACCCCUGUAGUC
rnacentral:rRNA from 1 species